rnacentral:lncRNA from 1 species
AAUUCCGUAGCUCGGCUCACGCACGCAAACAAACCAAACACGGGCAAACAUGGAAACCGAAUGCCAAUCGCUGGACUUACAUUAGACUCCGAACCAAACACACGCACACUGGAAACCGAAUGCCAAUCGUUGGGCUUACAUCGGACUCCAAGCACACAACAAGAGGAUACGGAAUGCCAAUCGCUGGGCUUAUAUCCAUCUCCUGACACACACAAA